CGUGAGUUUACACAUUGAAAGGCCAGCAUAAUAGAUGAAAAAGGACCCAUUAUUAAGGACAUGUCAUUGUAGUGAGUCAGAUCACUGGGAAGAACGAAGAUCCUGGAUGCUUCCAGAGGGGAAAAACAGGUCACAACAAAGGAUAAGGAUUCAAAAUGACUGUGGACUUCUCAAAAACAACACUGAAAGCUAGAAUGCAAUGUGCCAUGCCUUCAUUCUUCUGAAGAAUUAUUUUCAACACUGAACUCUUUAUCCAGCCAGACCAUUAAACAAAUGCCAAAAGGGCAGAUAAAAACAUUUUGAAAUGUCUCAAAACAUUGACUUGUUGCAGCAUUUAAAAUGUCUUAUUUUAGAGAUACAUGCUCACAUAUCUACAGAUGAAAUGAUAAGUUUAGAAUUUACUUCAAAAUAACUCAUCUGGAAAGGCUUGAAUUGGUGGAGGGUAUAGAUGAAAUAAGAAGGGCCAGAAAUGUUAAUUGUUAAAGCUGAAUAGUGGUGUGUGGGGUUUAUUAUCCUAUUCUUUAUUUUUGCAUAAGUUUGGAAAUUCCCAUAAUAAAAAGUAAACUUACAAAUGCACAUACUACUACAAAGCUUUCUUUUGGAAAAUGUGCUCCAUGAAAACAAGGAAGUAUUAAAUAAAAAGGAAGAUAGGGCACAGAACAUUGUUCUCAAAGUAUGAUCUCCAGGCCAGUAGCAUCAAAGCCAACUGUGAACUUGACAGAAGUGUAGACUCCCAGGCCCAACCUCCGAUCUAAUGAAUCAGGAACUCUGGCUAUGAGGUUUGGUAUUCUGUCUCAAUGAUUCUGAUAUAUACGCAAGUUUGAGAGCCACACUUAAAAAAUAGCUGUGCCCCUUGAUCUAACAUUUAGUUGAAUGGAGUCAUUAUACAUAAAGGCAGAAGAAUUCCUAUUAGUUGUGCUAUUGGUGCUAGCAAUCUGAAUGGACAAUGGAUGUGAAAGGUUCAGACUUUGGUAAAUUGUUAAGUCAGGUAAUUGUCUCAGAAACAGACUAGUUAUGAGUUGAACAGAUGAACAUCUACCAUAUGUCAAUCUGACUGCUGGUCCGAAUGGCAUCUUGACAUUUUCUCCUAGCAUUGUUCAUUGAAUUUUCCAUGAUCUAAAAUGUCUUUUUCCCUCCUCCACUAUCAAAAGCCUGUUUUUUCUCUGGGCCCAACCUAAGCCACAACUUUUCAACAAACCAUUGCUCAUCUUUUUUACUUAACUGUAAGAUUUUGUAAAAAGAAAACAUAGACUCUGGUGCGCCUGGGUGGUUCAGUUAGUUAAGUGUCUGACUCGAUUUCAGCUCAGGUUAUGAUCUCGCAGUUCAUGAGAUCAAGCCCCCGCGUCAAGUUCUGCACUGGAUUAUCCAGUAGUGAAGCUCCAGAGCCUGCUUGGGAUUUCUCUCCCCACCUCUCUCUGCCCCUUCCCCAUUCUCUCUCUCUGUCUCAAAAUAAAUAUAUAGACUUAAAAACAAAAUAAAACAUGGACUAAGCAGCUGUUAUGUGCUAAGCAUUAUGCUAGGUGUUUUACGUGUUACUUCCUUUAGUCAUCAUAAUAAUCUCCUUAUAACCUAACUAAAGAUUAACAUAUAUUUACCCUUUUCAUAUAUGUGCUUUUUUCUUGGUUUGUGCCUUCGAUUUUUAUUUCAAGAAGAAUGGUAAUUGACCACUUCUAUUUCAUAGUACAAGGAUUUCCAUUAACCCAUUGGUUCCCAAACGUCAUUGUGCAUCUAGAAGGCUUGUUGAAACAGAUUCCAGUUAUAUUUGUAAGAUUUAUGUAAAAGUGAAAUUUUUUUGAAAGACAUGAAUAUUUUCAAAUUACUGAAUUGUUUUUGAUACUUAGAAGGCUUGGAAAGAAUUAGUUUUAGAAGCCAAGUUAAGGUCAUUAAGAUAUGCCUUGAUCAUAAAGUAAUUAUAAUCAGGGGCACCUUGGUGUCUCAGUCAGUUAAGUGUGUGACUUCGGCUCAGGUCGUGAUUUCAUGGUUUGUGAGUUUGAGCCCCACCUUGGGCUCUGUGCUGACAGCUCGGAGCCGGGAACUGCUUCAGAUUCUGUGUCUCCCUCUCUCUCUACCCCUCCCCAGCUCACACUCUGUCUGUCUCUCUCACUCUCAAAAAUAAAGAUAAAAAAAAAUUUUU